rnacentral:rRNA from 1 species
UACAGGGGGUGCAAACGUUGCUCGGAAUCAUUGGGCGUAAAGCGCACGUAGGCGGUCUGUUAUGUCGGAUGUGAAAGCCCUUGGCUUAACUGAGGAAGUGCAUCCGAAACUGGCAGGCUAGAGUACUAAAGAGGGUCGCGGAAUUCCCGGUGUAGAGGUGAAAUUCGUAGAUAUCAGGAGGAACACCGGUGGCGAAGGCGGAAUCUCUGGGCCUUACCUGACGCUCAGGUGCGAAAGCUAAGGGGAGCGAACG